GGCGAGGUAGCUCAGCUGGUUAGAGCGUCGGAUUCAUAACCCGGAGGUCGGGGGAUCGUGCCCCCCCUCUCGCUA
rnacentral:tRNA from 1 species